rnacentral:rRNA from 1 species
AGAGUUUGAUCAUGGCUCAGAUUGAACGCUGGCGGCGUGCCUAACACAUGCAAGUCGAGCGGUAACGCGGGAGCAAUCCUGGCGACGAGCGGCGGACGGGUGAGUAACGCUUGGGAAUCUGCCUGUUAGUGGGGGACAACCCGGGGAAACUCGGGCUAAUACCGCAUACGCACUACGGUGGAAAGCCGGGGACCGCAAGGCCUGGCGCUAACAGAUGAGCCCAAGUCGGAUUAGCUAGUUGGUAGGGUAACGGCCUACCAAGGCGACGAUCCGUAACUGGUCUGAGAGGACGACCAGUCACACCGGAACUGAGACACGGUCCGGACUCCUACGGGAGGCAGCAGUGGGGAAUAUUGGACAAUGGGGGAAACCCUGAUCCAGCGACGCCGCGUGGGUGAAGAAGGCCUGCGGGUUGUAAAGCCCUUUCAGUGGGGAAGAAAAGCCUCGAGCUAAUACCUCGGGGUCUUGACGUAACCCAUAGAAGAAGCACCGGCUAACUCUGUGCCAGCAGCCGCGGUAAUACAGAGGGUGCGAGCGUUAAUCGGAAUUACUGGGCGUAAAGCGCGCGUAGGCGGCUUUGCAAGUCGGGUGUGAAAUCCCCAGGCUUAACCUGGGAACUGCAUUCGAGACUGCAUUGCUAGAGUAUGGGAGAGGGAAAGUGGAAUUUCAGGUGUAGUGGGUGAAAUGUGUAGAUAUCUGAAGGAAUAUUAGUGGGCGAAAGCGACUUCCUGGACCAAUACUGACGCUCAUGUGCGAAAGCGUGGGGGAGCAAACAGGAUUAGAUACCCUUGGUAGUCCACGUCAUAAACGAUGAGAACUGGAUGUCGGGAGGGUCUGCCUCUCGGGUGUCGUAGCUAACGCGUUUAGUUCUCCGCCUGGGGGAGUACGGCCGCAAGGUUGAAACUCAAAGGAUUUGACGG